GCCUUCGUGGUGUAGUGGUCAGCACGCUCGAGACGCGUAUUCCAGAAGUUCGUGGUUCGAGUCCCGGCGAGGGCA
rnacentral:tRNA from 1 species